GGCCUCCCAAAGUGCUGGGAUUAUAGGUGUGAGCCACUGUGCCUGGCCAAUCUUUCACCCAUUUCAAAGUCUUUAACAAUUUUUCUUGACAUUACUAAUUCCUCUGCCUAGAUUGUAAGUCACUAAAAUUAUCUUCAUCAAAUCAGUUCCUUUUUUUUUUUAGAUGGUGUUUCACUCUGUCGCCCAUGUUAGGCAGGAAUCUAGACCCAACAUGGCGGUAUCACCCGGCAUGGCAGGCCCUUUGUUAGGACUUCCCGCCCUUCACUUCCUGCUAAGACUCUCAGGGCGUGAAAAAAGCCCACGCCUGAUAAAAAACCCCCGCUCUGCGCAAGCUCCUGGACACAUCAUUCCUCAGAAAUCGAAACCUAACUCAGGAAAACUGAAACCUAUAAACCCCGCCUACCUCGCCCUAUAAAAGGCCCUCGAUACCCACCCCGAGCGCGACUUCCUCGGUCCUCCUCCUAGGGGACCGGUGAACCUCGCCCAUGAGCCCAAUAAAGGCUACCUCUGUUCUCAUCUGCCUCGUAAGACCUUGCUUGUCUCCCCAUUACAUUACAUUAGUGCGGAAACCCGGGAGGAGACCCCUCCCUGGACCCCUGCCGGUUCGGGCAGGCUCUCCUCUCCCCGAGCCAGGACCUCCUGUCCCAGCCGGGAGCCCUUUCACCAAAUCCAAGACUCAAUUCGAUCACUGCUGGGUAAGUUUUCCCCCGUCCUGCAGGCUCCGGGAGUCCCUGCCCGAAAACACGGCCGCGUCAGGGCUUCCCCCGUCCGUCACUUGUGACCUCGGCACUGGGGACUAGGAGUCAUUCAACCUCCCCAGAAGCCACCAUACCCCGCACUCCACGUGGCACUGGGAGGAUGCUCCCGUUGCCUCCGGACUGCCCGCCUCAGGAUCAUGGGGGCUGCCCAGUCCGAACCAGACUGAAAAUCCCCUCUGGGGUGCCUCUUGGCUAAUUUUCAGACUUUAGGUCUCAGCCAAGACCUAAAACGAAAGCGGCUUAUUUUCUUCUGCACAGUGGCAUGGCCGCAGUAUAAAUUAGAUAAUCAGUCUCAGUGGCCUGCAGAGGGCACUCUAGACUUUAACAUCCUCACAGACCUGACCAAUUUCUGCAAGAGACUAGGCAAAUGGUCCGAGGUAGCCUACGUUCAGGCCUUUUGGGACUUGCGCUCUCGCCCAGACCUCUGUGCCCAAUGUUUGUUGGCCCAGGUCUUGCUCGCGAAAUCCACUCUCUCAAGCAAGGAGAAGGAUGAUUCUUCCUCUUUCUCUGAGCCCCUUAUACUCUUUCCCUGCCCCCACUUCGGUCCCGUGCUCAACCUCCCCCUUACCCUGACCCGUCGUCGUCUCCGUCCUCGUUGGUGCCACCCCUUCCCUCCACUCCUCCUGUGUCCCCACUAAACCUGACGGACCCUGUCUCUCCUAUCUCCACCUCCUCCUCACCUGUCUCAGCCCAUACCCGGUCCAGGACCGACCUCCUGUGCCCCUUGCGGGAAGUGGCAGGCACCAAAGGAAUAGUCCGGGUCCAUGUGCCAUUUUCGCUGGCAGACCUGUCUAAGACUGAAGAGGGUGCAGGCUUUUUCUUGGCCAACCCCACUCUGUAUAUCAAAGAGUUCAGAUACCUAUGCCAGGCGUAUGACUUCACCUGGCAUGAUCUCCAUGUCGUUAUGACCUCAACCCUGUCCCCUGAGGAAUGGGAGCAUAUCCUAGCGGCAGCCAGGCAGCAUGCUGACCAGGUUCAUUUAACUGACCCCGCCAUGCCAGUCAGCACCGAGGCGGUGCCCUUGGCUGAGCCCGGCUGGGACUACCAGGUUGGGCAGGCAGGCCACCGCCGCCGAGACAUGAUGGUCCAGUGCCUUCUUACCAGUAUGCAAGUAGCCUCCAAUAAGUCAGUCAACUUUGAUAAAUUAAAGGAGGUAGUCCAAGGCUCAGAUGAGAAUCUGGCCGUUUUUCUUAACCGACUGACUGAGGCACUCACUCAGUACACCCGCCUUGACCCUACCUCCCCCGCAGGAGGAACCGUCUUGGCUAUGUACUUUAUUUCUCAGUCAGCUCCGGAUAUCCGGAAAAAAUUUUAAAAGGUGGAGGACGGCCCUCAAACUUCCAUCCAGGAUUUAGUCAAACUGGCCUUCAAGGUCUACAACUCCAGGGAGGAAGCAGCUGAGGCCCAGCGACAGGCAGGCUAAAGCAGAAGGCACAACUCCAAACCCAGGCCUUGGUAGCUGCCCUGAGGCCAGCCGGCUCCAGGAGCUCUCAGAGAGGAGGUACUCCCCAAGCGCCACCUGGUGCCUGCUUCAAGUGUGGCAACGAUGGCCACUGGGCCAAGCAGUGCCCCAACCCUAAGGAGCCAACUCGCCCCUGUCCAAGCUGUCGGCAGAUGGGCCACUGGAAGUCAGACUGCCCCAACCUGAGGACGGUCACUAUGCCUCCACGUGAUGACCCUCCUCCAGGUGCUGGAGGUGUCUUCCAGCUCCUCAACACCGAUGAAGAUUGAAGAGGCCCAGACUCGGGAACCCCUCUUACUCUCGCCGAGCCCAGGGUUAUGCUCCAGAUAGCGGGAAGUGGGCAGAGAACUGCUCAGAUAGCUUCAUCAAACACUGUUUUCAACCCUCGCUAUGUGAGAGCCAAGCACUUCAGACUAUGGAAAUGAUGUUAGACAAAAAGCAAAUUCAAGCAAUUUUGUUAUUCGAGUUCAAAAUGGGUUGUAAAGUGCGGAGACAACUCGCAAUGUCAAUAAUCCAUUUGGCCCAGGAACUGCUAAUGAACAUACAGUGCAGUGGUGGUUCAAGAAGUUUUGCAAAGGAGACAAGAGCCUUGAAGAUAGGGAGCGUAGUGGCCAGUCAUCAGAAGUUGACAAUGACCAAUUGAUAGCAAUAAUCAAAGCUGACCCUCUUACAAUUACACAAGAUGUUGCUAAAGAACUCAAUGUUGACCAUUCUAUGCUCAUUUGGCAUUUGAAGCAAAUUGGAAAGGUGAAAAAGCUUGAUAAGUGAGUACCUCAUGAACUGAGCAAAAAUUUCUAAAAAUAAUAAUUUUUUGAAGUGCUGUCUUCUCUUAUUUUACGCAACAACAACGAACCAUUUCUUGAUUGGAUUUGUGCAAUGAAAAGUGGAUUUAAAUUUUUGUUUUUGUUUUUUUUCUGAGAUGGAGUCUCGCUCUGUCACCCAGA